rnacentral:rRNA from 1 species
AUUGAACGCUGGCGGCAUGCCUUACACAUGCAAGUCGAACGGCAGCGGGCCUUCGGGUGCCGGCGAGUGGCGAACGGUGAGUAAUGCAUCGGAACGUGCCAUUGAGUGGGGAGUAACGUAGCGAAAGUUACGCUAAUACCGCAUAUUCUGUGAGCAGGAAAGCAGGGGACCGCAAAGGCCUUGCGCUCUUUGAGCGGCCGAUGUCAGAUUAGCUAGUUGGUGAGGUAAAGGCUUACCAAGGCGACGAUCUGUAGCGGGUCUGAGAGGAUGAUCCGCCACACUGGAACUGAGACACGGUCCAGACUCCUACGGGAGGCAGCAGUGGGGAAUUUUGGACAAUGGGCGCAAGCCUGAUCCAGCCAUGCCGCGUGAGUGAAGAAGGCCUUCGGUUGUAAAG